GACGAACGCUGGCGGCGUGCUUAACACAUGCAAGUCGAACGGAAAGGCCCUGCUAUUGUGGGGUGCUCGAGUGGCGAACGGGUGAGUAACACGUGAGUAACCUGCCCUUGACUUUGGGAUAACUUCAGGACACUGGGGCUAAUACCGGAUAGGAGCUCCUGCUGCAUGGUGGGGGUUGGAAAGUUUCGGCGGCUGGGGAUUGACUCGCGGCUGAUCAGCUUGUUGGUGGGGUAGUGGCUUACCAAGGCUUUGACGGGUAGCCGGCCUGAGAGGGUGACCGGCCACCUUGCGACUGUGGUACGGCCCAGCCUGCUACGGGGGGCAGCGGUGGCAGAUAUUGCACAAUGGGCGGCAGCCUGAUGCAGCGACGCCGCGUGCGGGAUGACGGCCUUCGGGUUGUAAACCGCUUUCGCCUGUGACGAAGCGUGAGUGACGGUAAUGGGUAAAGAAGCACCGGCUAACUACGUG
rnacentral:rRNA from 1 species